AACGAACGCUGGCGGCGGGCCUCAUACAUGCAAGUCGAGCGCGAAAGUCCGCAAGGAUGAGUAAAGCGGCGCACGGGUGAGUAACACGUGGGUAAUCUACCUUUUUGGAUUGGAAUAACCUGUCGAAAGACGGGCUAAUGCCAAGUAAGUUCUUUGGAACGUGGAGUUUUUGAAGAAGAAAGAUGGCGCAAGCUAUCGCCGAAAGAUGAGCCUGCGUCCCAUUAGUUAGUUGGUGGGGUAAUGGCUUACCAAGACAAUGAUGGGUACCUGGUCUGAGAGGAUGACCAGGCACACUGGAACUGAAACACGGUCCAGACUCCUACGGAGGCAGCAGUAGGGAAUAUUGCGCAAUGGACGAAAGUCUGACGCAGCCACGCCGCGUGAGUGAGGAAGGCCUUCGGGUUGUAAAGCUACU
rnacentral:rRNA from 1 species